ensembl:lncRNA
CUGGGAAACAAUUUAAGCCCUGAAAGGACUAGAGGGAAUAGUGUCUGUAGUUCACACAGGGCUGUGAAAAAUGCCUGUACCUAAUAACCAGAGUGGAAAAUUCAUAAAUCAGUGGGCACUAAUUAGAGUACUAAAAAUUGUCUUUCCUAAAUAGAGAGAAGGGGUGAUUUUAACCCUGGAACCCUAGAAGAAAUGUAGCUUUUGUCCCACCAACAAAGUUUACAAGCCAGACCAAAGAAUCAAAAUGGAAAAGCAGCUGGUCCUACAGGAUGAACUUUUGAAAAAGAGUGAAAUAAAAUCACAAAGAACUAUUUUUAAACACGUGAUGUUGAUAUAAUCACAACUUUCAAAAAAAGAAUCAAUAACCUUCGCAGCUAAACACAUCAGUCAAUUAAAAGAUAUAGUUCAUUUACAAUAUAUCUAAAAAUUCAUUUACAAUAUAUCUAAAACUAAACCUAACAAGAACCAUAAGCCUUUAGGAUAUAAGUUUAAGAAAGACUCAAAGUAGAUUUAACGAAUGGCCGCACAUUAUAUGCUAAUGGAUAUAGUAUCAUAAAAACACCAGUUCUCCCCAUGAUAAAAUACAAGUAUAGUGUAAUCCCAAGAAGAAUACCAGCAAACCUUUUUGUUUUGGUUUGUUUUUUCCAUUUUCCUGGACUAGAGAAGUUAACUCUAAAACUCACAUGGAAAAAUUAACAAGCAACAAUAGCCAAGAAACUCCUGGCAAAAAGAAAAACCAUGAGAGAAGUCUAAAUCUAUGAAAUAUUAAAACAUUCUAUAAAGCCGUUAUUCAAGACAGUGUUGUGGCAUUUAAAAAUGACAGAGAGAGAGAAAAGAGGGAGCAAGAUUUUAAAAGAAUAAAAUAGAAAAUCUAGAUUAGACCUAAGUCCACAUGUAAUUUAGUAUACGAUAAAGAUGGUAAAUCAAUGGUGGAAAAGCGACGAAACACUGACGAAAAAGUGGACAUUUAAAUAAAUGAAACUAGGGCAACUGAAGAACUAUUAAAAAAAAUUGGAUCAAUGCCUCAGACCAUCAGUUGUUUUAAAAGGAAAAUACAAAAAAAAAAAUAGCCUUGAAAAAAAUAUAGAUGCUUACUUUAUAAUCAAAGAGCAUAGAAGUCUAACUAUGAAUCAAAAUCCGGAAGCAAUAAAUAAAAAUAUGUAUAAGGUCUCCUCUUUAAAAUUGAAAUACUCUGUUUACAAUAAUACAAUCAUAUUCAAAGUCAACAAAUAAAAGACAUACUGGAAGAAAAUCUCCCUUUUAUACACAUAUAGGGUCUUACAAAUUGGGACCAAAUCUGAGAGAAAAUUGUUAAAAGACAUGGAAAGUUCACAAAAGAGGAAAUGCAAAUGACCCUUAAGCAGAUGAACGUAUAUUCAGUCUCACUAAGAGUAAAGUCAAUUAAAACAAUAGAUGCAUCGUUUCUCACCUAUAUGAUUGGCAAAAAUCCAAAGUACCACAAUAUACUCUAUUGAUGAGACUGGAGAAAAUAAUUUAUUUCAGAUUACCACUGGUGGGAAUGUGGAAUAGUACGACCUCUAAAGAGGAUAAUUUUUCCAUAUCAAACAAAAUUAAAGAUGCACUUAUGUGUUGAUCUUCCAGGACUGUAUUCCGAAAAUAUACAUUCACACGUAUGAGAUAACACACACACACACUUGUUCAUAAAAGCAAUACUUGUAAUAUCAAUAGAUAACUGAAUUGAUUUUGAUAAUUGGCCUAAACAUCUUUCUCUGCCAAAAUCACACAAAAUCAUAUGUCCUGUUGAAUGGGGCACAGAACGAAUUGAGAACUAGAAAGGCUUGCCAUCACUUCUUCUAAAUCCCAAUCCCCAAGCCUGCCUACCCUCAUACAAAAGGACUAACAUUUAUGUUAAUUCUUUCUUCCAUAUACUUCUGGAUGAUUCAAUUACACACUUACACCCUUGGAAAUGUGUGAGGGAAGCAGAAACCCUGGUGUCUGACCUUUUCUUUCCUUCCUGAUCCUCCUCUUUCCAGUUCUAUGUUCCUAGGAACUGGGAGGCCGAAUCUUUCCACCUCUUCUAAAGUGUCAGGAAUAUUCCUUAUACUACAUUUUCUUUCUUCGUAAAGUGCUCAUAAGUCUCUCCUGUUCUAGACGGCAUUCCUGCAGCUCCUGGGUGGGAGUGAGGUGGAGAUGGAGAUUGACAUAUAUUAGUUUAAUAUUUUCAAAAUUUUACUUGCACUGCACUCAUUUUGAGAAACAUUAUAGCAAGUAACACAGCCUUUAGCUAGUGUAAGAAUGACAAGGCCAAAAGGAGAGAGAAAGCAGACAGGGCAG